rnacentral:misc_RNA from 1 species
GAUGAAGAACGUAGCGAAAUGCGAUACGUAAUGUGAAUUGCAAAUUCAGUGAAUCAUCGAGUCUUUGAACGCACAUUGCGCCCCCUGGUGUUCCGGGGGGCAUGCCUGUCCGAGCGUCAUUGCUGCCCUCAAGCACGGCUUGUGUGUUGGGCCCCGUCCUCCGAUCCCGGGGGACGGGCCCGAAAGGCAGCGGCGGCACCGCGUCCGGUCCUCGAGCGUAUGGGGCUUUGUCACCCGCUCUGUAGGCCCGGCCGGCGCUUGCCGAUCAACCCAAAUUUUUAUCCAGGUUGACCUCGGAUCAGGUAGGGAUACCCGCUGAACUUAAGCAUAUCAAUAAGCGGAGGA